UACGUAGGGUGCGAGCGUUAAUCGGAAUUACUGGGCGUAAAGUGUGCGCAGGCGGCAGAGCAAGUCGAGUGUGAAAGCCCCGGGCUUAACUUGGGAAUUGCGCUCGAAACUACUUUGCUGGAGUGUGGCAGAGGAAGGUGGAAUUCCACGUGUAGCGGUGAAAUGCGCAGAUAUCAGGAGGAACACCAAUAGCGAAGGCAGCUCGCUGGGACGGUACUGACGCUGAGGCGCGAAAGCGUGGGGAGCGAACAGG
rnacentral:rRNA from 1 species